rnacentral:rRNA from 1 species
UACGUAGGGGGCAAGCGUUGUCCGGAAUCAUUGGGCGUAAAGCGCGCGUAGGCGGCCCGGUAAGUCCGCUCUGAAAGUCCAGGGCUUAACCCUGGAAAGCGGGUGGAUACUGCCGGGCUUGAAUCCGGAAGAGGCGAGUGGAAUUCCUGGUGUAGCGGUGGAAUGCGCAGAUAUCAGGAGGAACACCAAUAGCGAAGGCAGCUCGCUGGGACGGUACUGACGCUGAGACGCGAAAGCGUGGGGAGCGAACAGG